rfam:Pan troglodytes isolate Yerkes chimp pedigree #C0471 (Clint) chromosome 18, whole genome shotgun sequence.
GCCGGGCAUGGUGGUGUGCACCUGUAGCCCCAGCUACUCAGGGUCUGAGGCCAGAGGAUGCCUUGAGUCCAGGAGUUCUGGGCCUUAGUGCGCUAUGCCAAGUGUCUGCACUUAUCAGGUGUCUGCACUAAGUUUGGCAUCAAUAUGGUGACCUCUCGGAAGUGAGGGACCAUUAGGUUGCCUAAGAAGGGGUGAAUCAGCCCCGGCCAGAAAUGGAGCAGGUCAGAACUCCCAUGCUGAUCAGUAGUGGGAACGUGCCUGAAAAUAGCCACCACACUCCAGACUGGUGGAGUGCCUGAAAAUAGCCACCACACUCCAGCCUGGGUAACAUAGUGAGACCCCUUCUCUA